GGGUAUUGAAAUUUUUUUUUUUUUUUUCAACAAGAUUUCCUAGUUUCUUAGAAGUCCAACUUGAAAUUUUUAUUGAAAGGUCAAAAGCUUCACAAACAUUUUACAGCUCUCUUUCCACAAGCCUGUGCAUAAGGAAGUCUAUAUGAGCAUUUUCUUUUAGUCCAAGACACUUGAAAGAGCAGAAGUUAAAAGCACAGUCAUAAUUAAAAUAAACAAGCCUCGAGCCUCAAUUAUGUCAUUUCAAGGGGACAAAUAAUAAAAAUAUGGAUUAUGAGACUGUCUUUACCCGAAAGGUGUUUGAAAUCUACAUGCACAGAAUUCUAAUUUAUGAUAUGUUCAUGUAUCCGUUCUUGGAUUUCUUGCUCAAACGUCAAAUACAAACAGGGGGCCCAGAAAAUCAAAACACAAAUGCAUAUAAUAUAAAGGAAUCCCUAUUGCAAAAUAAUCAAAGGUCACACCGUCACAGGUUAGACCAUGAAUAGCAAAGAAGAAUUAAAGUAGGUUCUUCAUAACUUUACAUUAUAAAUCACAUGAUGAUGAAUCAAAUAUCUUUAAGAACAACAGUUAACAAACAAUUUACUCUAAGGAUAUACG
rnacentral:misc_RNA from 1 species